rnacentral:rRNA from 1 species
CCUACGGGAGGCAGCAGUGAGGAAUAUUGGUCAAUGGGCGGAAGCCUGAACCAGCCAAGUCGCGUGAGGGAUUAAGGCCCUGCGGGUCGUAAACCUCUUUUGCCGGGGAGCAGAGGUCCGGACGUGUCCGGGCCGGGAGAGUACCCGGAGAAAAAGCAUCGGCUAACCCCGUGCCAGCAGCCGCGGUAAUACGGAGGAUGCGGGCGUUAUCCGGAUUUAUUGGGUUAAAGGGGUGCGUAGGCGGGCAUUUAAGCCGGGGGUCAAAUGUCGGGUCUCAACCCCGGCCUGCCGUCGGAACUGGGUGCCUUGAGUGGGCGAGAAGUAUGCGGAAUGCGUGGUGUAGCGGUGAAAUGCAUAGAUAUCACGCAGAACCCCGAUUGCGAAGGCAGCAUACCGGCGCCCUACUGACGCUGAGGCACGAAAGUGCGGGUAUCGAACAGGAUUAGAUACCCGGGUAGUC